AUGGCCACGUCCAGCUCCCAAUUCCUUUUCCGGAUGCUGCUUCCAGUCCUCCUUGUUGUCAUCCUUGCCUCGGCGGCCGAAGGGCAGCGCCCGGGUUGCCGCGAAAAGUGCGGCAACAUCACCAUCCCCUUCCCGUUCGGCAUCGGCCUCCGCUGCUUCCGCGAGGGCUUCGAGGUCCUCUGCAACCACUCUCGCGCCUUCCUUGCUGGCAACAGAACACGCAAGGGCGACUCCGAGGGCAAGCUCGCAUGGUCGUGGUCGCUGAUGGAGCUAGCGAGCAUAUCGGUCGCCACCAGCGAUGCACGAGCCUACGCUGCGGUCUCGUACCGCUGCAGCAUGAGUGAGAACACGAGCUCCUCCUUGUCCCUGCGUAUGGAUUUCGCUAUGUCAUCCAAGCGUAAUGUUCUCCAGGGCGUCGGCUGGAUAGUUGACGCUCAGUUGAGUUACGAACCUUACUUCUCGGCGGCGGCGGACGGGUUCCCUUGCAGUGUACCAGAGAGCAACUACCUGGAUAGGCCGGCCGGGACGAACGGGUCGUGCGUGGCCCCCUUCCCGCCCGACAACGGCCCCAACGAAAUUAUCAGCUUGUCGGUCCAAGGAAAUGACAAGAAUAGGUGGUGGGAAACCUACCCGUGCUCCUACGGCAUGCUGGUGGAGGAAUCAGUGUACAGCUUCUCUACGCCUGACAUACGCGGCAACAUGACGCUACUCGAAAGGUACCCCCAGGGGACACCCUUCAUCCUCGAUUUCGCCGCCGGGAACACUAAUUCGUGUCCGGAUGAAGGACGGCUUCCUUCAGACUACGCCUGUGUCAGCGGCAACAGCUCUUGUGCCAACGCAACAACACGUACUCGUGAUUUUCCGACAACAAGAACAACAAUUACUCGUGGCUAUGUCUGCAAGUGCUGGGAACACUACGACGGCAACCCGUACAUCCCAAACGGAUGCCAAUACAUUGAUGAGUGCAAGCUCCCUACAAAUCCCUGCCCAAAUGGCGGGAUCUGCAAAAACAGGCUGGAUGGUUAUGAUUGUCCAUGCAAAUUCGGUAUGAAAGACGACGGCAAAGGGGGGACUUGCACAGAUGUAUUCCCUCCAGCAUCAAAGGCAGCUGUGGGUGCAAUAGGGGGUAUUCUUCUCAUGGUAAUUAUAUCGUUCCUUAUUAUUCUUUACAAAGAGAAGAAGAUGAAGGAAUUCUACAAAAAAUAA
rnacentral:rRNA from 1 species